UAUUUGUUACCAACGUAUCUCAUAAAAACGAAUAUAGAAAAAAUAUUUGAAAGUACUUUCUGGAAAGAAACUUAUUCACACAUCUCACAAAUUGAAGAAGGUCGUCGCUGAGAGCUGAGAGAAGUUGAUUAAAACAAAUGAAGGUUUUCGUGGAGACUCAAAUUUAGCCGUGGAUGUCUGAUGACUAAUAUAUAAUGAUAAGGUGUCUACAUAUGUCAGUAAAAAACAAUAUUCGUCGCUUGUUUUUUCUCUGAGUAGGUAAAUUACGUUUAACCAUACGAAAUCAAUAAAUAAGACCGUCAAUCAAAAUUGAUUCGUCGCCCCUGGAUAUUAAGACCUUAAUUGAAUUGUAGCAGUGGUAUAUAAAAGAGCUUGGUAUCAUGAUAUUGGUGACUGUAAGACGAGCCUUCACCGCGAUGAAGUGGCUCGCGUUACUGUUCCUGAUGCUGGGCCUAAUGUCAGCCAUGGCUGACGACCACGUAGAUAGGGAUGGAGCGCCAGACUAUACCAGUAGAUACGCUGAACUGGCGUCACCAUUACCAUCUCAUAUCAAUGUCCAAGACCUGCUGUCAUCUCUUGCAGCUGCCAGUCACCUACACUAACCAACCCAGACCCUCAAUUCUCAAAAAACAUGACCAUGAUCCUAAAACUCACAACUAUAAUAUUUUGUGCUUUACACAUCACAGAAUUUAUUUUAUGACACAAAAAAUAAUAUGUAUUUAUGACACAAAAUAAUUAAUUUAUGUUUUUUAAAAUACGAAUUUCUAUUUCGUUAGCGUUUUUAUGAAUCAUAAAUGUAUUUAUUGUUCGAAAUUCUGUGAUUAUUUUUGUUUGAUUGUAGCAUACCCACUAGUGCUUGUAAUCGGAGUUUUGUUUUUUAUAAUGCAAUUUAUUUUAUUUAUAAAUAUGUGUAUUAAUGAUCAAAAGUGUGUAACGCUUCUGAAUUUGUAUGUAUUUUUAUAUUAAAGUAUAAGUUUGCUCGUU